rnacentral:misc_RNA from 1 species
AAUUCAAAUUGAUUGAUCUUAAAUACGGUGACUUGCGUUAAAUACUCCUUGUUUUCUUCUCCUGAGUUGUUUUUCAUUCAGUUUCGUCAGCAUUGUCGUUAGGCAUUUGCGUAGGAGACAAUAAUAGAUUUUGAGCAAGACAAUAAGAAAGAUCGCGCGAAGAUUGGGACUGGGCUAUAAUGGAUAGGUCUAACAUCAAUGGAUGGGGAGAGCUCGAGCCCCGAAGGGGGUCCGGACACCCCGCCAAACACCCCUGUUACACCAUCACACAAGACUACGACGGAGCAUCACAGGCAGUGGAGGGAAUUGGACAAGUCCGAACCAGAACCGGCCGCCUGUUUAGGUCAGCAUCAUCACCAACGUCAUCAUAACCAUGAUCAUUAUCAUCAUUACCAUCACCAUCGUCAUCAUCAUCAUCAUCAUCAUCAUCAUAGCUCCCAUAAGCAUCAUCACAACGGUCAUUUCCCCACGUUCGAAAAGAAGCUGUCGUACGAUCUUCAGGGCAUCUGUGAUGUCAAAGCUCCGCCCAACAAUUAUGCCUCGUCGAUAUACUCAUGCUAUCAUACCCAUUGGUGCGUUGCUUCUGUACCUUCGACGCCAGGCUCCAGUCCUAUUCCCGCGAGUCCGACCCUCUCUUCCCUCUCAUCAAACUGUAGUAGCGAAGGGGAGUUUGGAUGGCAGCAGCCGUUGCGUCCGCGAUCUACUGUCGAAAAAGAUCCAGAUCGAUCUACCCACAAAUCGAUCCGAGGUGAUGAUAAAGACGACGACGAUGACAAUGCGGAUCAAAACAACGACCAAGACCAAGAUCAAGAUCAUAGUCGCAAUUUGCCAAAUCCAGGUGAUCUGCCCUCGUAUAUAACUCGAUUCCAGUGGGACAUGGCUAAAUACCCCAUCAAACAGUCUUUGAGAAAUAUCGCGGAUAUUAUCAGUAAACAAGUAGGACAGAUUGAUGCCGAUUUGAAAACUAAAUCUACAAUAUAUAACAACUUGAAAGGCAGCUUACAAAAUUUAGAAAAAAAGCAGACAGGAAGUCUCUUAACACGAAAUUUAGCAGAUUUAGUGAAAAAAGAACACUUUAUUCUGGACAGUGAAUAUUUAACUACCUUGCUUGUAAUCGUACCGAGAGCCAGUUUUCAGGAAUGGUACAGUUGUUAUGAAAAACUUACAGAUAUGAUUGUGCCGCGUAGUACACAACUCAUUACUCAGGAUUCCGAAUAUGGAUUAUUUACGGUCACUUUAUUUAAAAAAGUGAUGGAUGAAUUUAAGUUGCAUGCUCGUGAAAAGAAGUUUAUCGUACGAGAUUUUACAUACAAUGAAGAAGAAUUAGCAGCAGGAAAAAAUGAAAUUACAAAGUUGGUAACUGAUAAAAAGAAACAAUUUGGACCACUUGUCCGCUGGUUAAAAGUGAAUUUUAGUGAAUGUUUUUGUGCUUGGAUUCAUGUUAAAGCAUUACGUGUAUUUGUUGAAUCUGUUCUCAGAUAUGGCUUACCUGUCAAUUUCCAAGCAAUAUUGUUGCAUCCGCAUAAAAAAUGUGCAAGGAGAUUACGUGACGCUCUAAAUCAGCUUUAUGCUCAUUUAGAUUCAUCUGCUACUGCUUCAACAGUACAUAAUCAGGAUAAUGUGGAUAUACCAGGACUAGGUUUUGGCCAAAGUGAUUACUUCCCAUAUGUGUAUUAUAAAAUCAAUGUGGAUAUGGUUGAUAAUAAGGUGUAAUUAUUAAGCCUGUCCUGGAUGUCAUAUUUUCUUUUAUUCGUUGGGAUGACAAUUUUAUUAUAUCAAGAAUCUAGUAGCAAAAGUCGUUACUUUUGUAAAUCAAUGAAAUUGGAAUAAUUUAUAAUUGUUACUCAAAACUGCAUAAUAGUUUGUGCAUUCCCUUAUAUAUAUUUUCUCCAAAUAUAAGCAUAUAAAGCAAGUGAGUUAUAUAUGAUAAGAUAAUAAGAGAUAAAUUUCUCAGGCAAUUACUAUUAUGUUUUCGGACAUAUAGUUAUAGAAUCAAAUAUUCGUUGCAAUUAUUUGGUUUCCAUUAAAACUAAUUUACUUGAUAUACUUGAAAAGUGCGCGCAACCUAUUUUAUACAUUAACGCAAUAUAAAAAUAUAUACCACUUCUAAAUAGGAAUUGCUAUAAUGCAAUUAAUUCUAUUCAUUAAUAUGUUAUGUACAGAGUUAAAGAGUGCUAAUCUUUUUCAUUAAUAUAAAAGAUUAAGACUUAUGCAGAACAAACAAAGAUAUAUACACCUUGUUACAUCUUGUAAGAAAUAUUCACACUAAGUGUGUCACGUGAAUAUUUAGCAAAGCAAAUUGUUAACUGUAAGUUAGAAAAAAAA